rnacentral:rRNA from 1 species
AUGCAGGUUAACCAAAUAGGACCAUCACACACAUGUGUUUCAAGUAGCAGGCUAACUUCGGCAAUGGCCUCACAGGAUUGGGUUCAAGAAAGGUCUAAGAAAAUAUUGAGGAAAACUCCAAAUAUAUGUAUGGAGGAAGAUUGGAAUGUAACCACUAGCUAUGACACUGUAUUAAAGGGGAUGCAAAGAGCAAAGGAUGAGAUAUAUGGUUCAUGGGGUAGUAGCUUCCGGUACCUAUUCAAUUUCAAAGCAGAGAUAGAACUGAGAUCUCCUGGAACCAUUGUUGAGGUCGACACUAAACUAAAGGACGGUAAUGUUUACUUUCAUAGAUUCUUUAUGGCACUUAAGCCUUGUGUCGAUGGGUUCCAUGUUGGAUGUAGGCCUUUUCUUAGCAUAGACUCAACUGCAUUGAAUGGGAAGUGGAAUGGUCAUUUAGCUACAUGUACCGCUUUAGAUGGACAUAAUUGGAUGUUUCCUCUUGCAUUUGGUUUUAUCGAGGUUGAGGAUGACGAUAAUUGGACAUGGUUCAUGACACCGUUGCAUAGAGCACUAGGGCCAAUUCCAAAGCUUGCUAUAAGUACCGAUGCAUGUAAAGGUUUAGAAAAUGCAGUUAAGAAAGUUUUCCCUCAAGCAGAACAAAGGGAGUGUUUUAGGCAUUUGAUGCAGAAUGUUUCC